GCGUAACGCGUAUACAAUCUACCUUUUACAGGGGGAUAGCCCAGAGAAAUUUGGAUUAAUACCCCAUGGCAUAUAUUUUUGGCAUCAUAUAUAUAUUAAAGAUUCAUCGGUAAGAGAUGAGUAUGCGUUCUAUUAGCUAGUUGGUGCGGUAACGGCGCACCAAGGCUACGAUAGAUAGGGGCCCUGAGAGGGGGAUCCCCCACACUGGUACUGAGACACGGACCAG
rnacentral:rRNA from 1 species